AACAAACGCUGGCGGCGUGCCUAACACAUGCAAGUCGAACGAGAAAGUCGGUUUCGGCCGAUGAGUAAAGUGGCGCACGGGUGAGUAACGCGUGGAUAAUCUACCCUUUAGUCCGGAAUAACUUGCCGAAAGGUGAACUAAUACCGGAUGACAUCCCGGGUUCUCCGGAAACCGGGAUCAAAGAAGGCCUCUGCUUGCAAGCUUUUGCUGAAGGAUGAGUCCGCGUACCAUUUAGCUAGUUGGUGGGGUAAUGGCCUACCAAGGUUAUGAUGGUUAGCUGGUCUGAGAGGAUGAUCAGCCACACUGGAACUGAAACACGGUCCAGACUCCUACGGGAGGCAGCAGUGAGGAAUAUUGGGCAAUGGGGGCAACCCUGACGCAGCAACGCCGCGUGAGUGAGGAAGGUUUUCGGAUUGUAAAGCUCUGUCGAGCGGAAAGAAAUGCACGAUGGCUAAUAUCCAUCAUGCUUGACGGUACCGCUAAGAGGGAAGCACCGGCUAACUCCGUG
rnacentral:rRNA from 1 species